rnacentral:rRNA from 1 species
AGCAACAAAUGCCCUGCUUCCAGGAAAAGCCUCUAAGCAUCAGGUAACAUCAAAUCGUACCCCAAACCGACACAGGUGGUCAGGUAGAGAAUACCAAGGCGCUUGAGAGAACUCGGGUGAAGGAACUAGGCAAAAUGGUGCCGUAACUUCGGGAGAAGGCACGCUGACACGUAGGUGAAGUGAUUUACUCAUGGAGCUGAAGUCAGUCGAAGAUACCAGCUGGCUGCAACUGUUUAUUAAAAACACAGCACUGUGCAAACACGAAAGUGGACGUAUACGGUGUGACGCCUGCCCGGUGCCGGAA